rnacentral:lncRNA from 1 species
CUCUUGACUACAAUAUCUUCUCAAUCAAUAUGUGCUAAUGAUUGUCCUCCUAGAGGCUAGGAAAGAGACUAAAUCCUGAAUCUAUGUAAAACAUCAUAAAUGAUUAAAUUAAUAAGUAUUUCGAUACAAAAAUAAUUUAGUUCAUACCCAAGUAAAUCAUUUCAUGCUUGAUCUAAUAUUUUAAAAUUUAAUUUUAUGCAG